GAUGAACGCUGGCGGUGUGCCUAAUACAUGCAAGUCGAACGGGCUCUUCGGAGCUAGUGGCGGACGGGUGAGUAACACGUUGGUACCUACCCCUAAGUGGGGAAUAACUGCCCGAAAGGGUGGCUAAUACCGCAUAAUCCCGCAAGGGUAAAGCAGUAAUGCGCUUAGGGAGGGGCCUGCGUCUGAUUAGCUAGUUGGUGAGGUAAUUGCUCACCAAGGCGACGAUCAGUAGCNGGAUCGAGAGGUUGACCAGCCACACUGGGACUGAGAUACGGCCCAGACUCCUACGGGAGGCAGCAGUAAGGAAUCUUCCACAAUGGACGAAAGUCUGAUGGAGCAACACCGCGUGCAGGAUGACGGCCU
rnacentral:rRNA from 1 species